rnacentral:tRNA from 1 species
GAGGGUGUAGCUCAGUGGUAGAGCACACGCUUAGCAUGCACAAGGUCCUGGGUUCAAUCCCCACUCCCUCC